UACGUAGGGUGCAGGCGUUAAUCGGAAUUACUGGGCGUAAAGCGUGCGCAGGCGGUGAUGUAAGACAGAUGUGAAAUCCCCGGGCUCAACCUGGGAACUGCAUUUGUGACUGCAUCGCUGGAGUGCGGCAGAGGGGGAUGGAAUUCCGCGUGUAGCAGUGAAAUGCGUAGAUAUGCGGAGGAACACCGAUGGCGAAGGCAAUCCCCUGGGCCUGCACUGACGCUCAUGCACGAAAGCGUGGGGAGCAAACAG
rnacentral:rRNA from 1 species